UACGGGGGGAGCAAGCGUUGUUCGGAUUUACUGGGCGUAAAGGGCGCGUAGGCGGCCACCGCAAGUCGACUGUGAAAUCUCCGGGCUUAACCCGGAAAGGUCAGCCGAUACUGCGGGGCUAGAGUGCAGAAGGGGCAACUGGAAUUCUCGGUGUAGCGGUGAAAUGCGUAGAUAUCGAGAGGAACACCUGCGGCGAAGGCGGGACUCUGGGCCGAUGACUGACGCUGAGGAGCGAAAGCGUGGGGAGCGAUCCGG
rnacentral:rRNA from 1 species